AGAGUUUGAUCCUGGCUCAGGACGAACGCUGGCGGCGUGCUUAACACAUGCAAGUCGAACGGUAAGGCCCUUCGGGGUACACGAGUGGCGAACGGGUGAGUAACACGUGGGUAAUCUGCCCUGCACAUCGGGAUAAGCCUGGGAAACUGGGUCUAAUACCGAAUAGGACCACAGGACACAUGUCCUGUGGUGGAAAGCUUUUGCGGUGUGGGAUGGGCCCGCGGCCUAUCAGCUUGUUGGUGGGGUGAUGGCCUACCAAGGCGACGACGGGUAGCCGGCCUGAGAGGGUGUCCGGCCACACUGGGACUGAGAUACGGCCCAGACCCCUACGGGAGGCAGCAGUGGGGAAUAUUGCACAAUGGGCGAAAGCCUGAUGCAGCGACGCCGCGUGGGGGAUGACGGCCUUCGGGUUGUAAACCUCUUUCACCAUCGACGAAGGUCCGGGUUUUCUCGGGCUGACGGUAGGUGGAGAAGAAGCACCGGCCAACUACGUGCCAGCAGCCGCGGUAAUACGUAGGGUGCGAGCGUUGUCCGGAAUUACUGGGCGUAAAGAGCUCGUAGGUGGUUUGUCGCGUUGUUCGUGAAAUCUCACGGCUUAACUGUGAGCGUGCGGGCGAUACGGGCAGACUUGAGUACUGCAGGGGAGACUGGAAUUCCUGGUGUAGCGGUGGAAUGCGCAGAUAUCAGGAGGAACACCGGUGGCGAAGGCGGGUCUCUGGGCAGUAACUGACGCUGAGGAGCGAAAGCGUGGGGAGCGAACAGGAUUAGAUACCCUGGUAGUCC
rnacentral:rRNA from 1 species